GAUCAUGGCUCAGAUUGAACGCUGGCGGCAUGCCUUACACAUGCAAGUCGAACGGCAGCGCGGACUUCGGUCUGGCGGCGAGUGGCGAACGGGUGAGUAAUACAUCGGAACGUACCCUGUUGUGGGGGAUAACUAGUCGAAAGAUUAGCCAAUACCGCAUACGACCUGAGGGUGAAAGUGGGGGACCGCAAGGCCUCACGCAGCAGGAGCGGCCGAUGUCUGAUUAGCUAGUUGGAGGGGUAAAGGCCCACCAAGGCGACGAUCAGUAGCUGGUCUGAGAGGACGAUCAGCCACACUGGGACUGAGACACGGCCCAGACUCCUACGGGAGGCAGCAGUGGGGAAUUUUGGACAAUGGGGGCAACCCUGAUCCAGCAAUGCCGCGUGUGUGAAGAAGGCCUUCGGGUUGUAAAGCACUUUUGUCCGGAAAGAAAUCGCGCUGGUUAAUACCUGGCGUGGAUGACGGUACCGGAAGAAUAAGCACCGGCUAACUACGUG
rnacentral:rRNA from 1 species